rnacentral:rRNA from 1 species
AAUUCGGCACAGCUUGUACAGGAUAGGUAGGAGCCUUUGAAACGUGAGCGCUAGCUUACGUGGAGGCGCUGGUGGGAUACUACCCUAGCUGUGUUGGCUUUCUAACCCGCGCCACUUAUCGUGGUGGGAGACAGUGUCAGGCGGGCAGUUUGACUGGGGCGGUCGCCUCCUAAAAGGUAACGGAGGCGCUCAAAGGUUCCCUCAGAAUGGUUGGAAAUCAU